rnacentral:RNase_P_RNA from 1 species
GAGGCAGGCUGGGCAGUCGCGGUACGCAAGUAUCGAGGAAGGUCCGGACUCCAUAGAGCAGGGUAGCGGCUAACAGCCGUCCGGCAAGUGUGGCAUCACGCCAGACGAGCCGAGGACCAGGGCCACAGAGACGAGACCACAGCAAGGGCUUGCGCAAGCAGGCACAGAUACGGCCACUUCCGUGUUUUCUUGCACUUAGGUGCAAAGUGCUGUGGGGUGAAACGCGGUAACCUCUACCCGGAGCAAUACCAAAUAGGCAUACGCAGGCUUUUUAGCCCGAGAGGCGGCUCGUCUCAGUAUGCGGGUAGGUAGCUAGAACCGGCCAGCAAUGGUCGGUCCAGAGGAAUGAUUGCCGGUCAGCGGGUUCCCGCUGGCAUACAGAAUCCGGCCUAUAGGCCUGUCUCACAC